CUACGGGUCGCUCCAGUAAGGAAUCUUCCACAAUGGGCGAAAGCCUGAUGGAGCAACUCCGCGUGCAGGAUGAAGGCCUUCGGGUCGUAAACUGCUUUUAUGAGUGAAGAAUAUGACGGUAACUCAUGAAUAAGGGUCGGCUAACUACGUGCCAGCAGCCGCGGUCAUACGUAGGACCCAAGCGUUAUCCGGAGUGACUGGGCGUAAAGAGUUGCGUAGGUGGUUAGUAAAGUGAAUAGUGAAAUCUGGUGGCUCAACCAUUCAGACUAUUGUUCAAACUCACUAACUCGAGAAUAGUAGAGGUAGCUAGAAUUUCUGGUGUAGGGGUGGAAUCCGUAGAUAUCAGAAGGAAUACCAAUGGCGUAGGCAGGCUACUGGACUAUUUCUGACACUGAGGCACGAAAGCGUGGGGAGCGAACCGGAUUAGAUACCCCGGUAGUC
rnacentral:rRNA from 1 species